rnacentral:rRNA from 1 species
GUGAGNAUUUUCUCCGACGGNUNANUACACGUGUUUACCUGCCCUUGACUCUGGGAUAAGCCUGGGAAACUGGGUCUAAUACCGGAUACGACCAUCUGGCGCAUGUCAUGGUGGUGGAAAGCUUUUGUGGUUUUGGAUGGACUCGCGGCCUAUCAGCUUGUUGGUGGGGUAAUGGCCUACCAAGGCGACGACGGGUAGCCGGCCUGAGAGGGUGACCGGCCACACUGGGACUGAGACACGGCCCAGACUCCUACGGGAGGCAGCAGUGGGGAAUAUUGCACAAUGGGCGCAAGCCUGAUGCAGCGACGCCGCGUGAGGGAUGACGGCCUUCGGGUUGUAAACCUCUUUCAGUAGGGAAGAAGCGAAAGUGACGGUACCUGCAGAAGAAGCGCCGGCUAACUACGUGCCAGCAGCCGCGGUAAUACGUAGGGCGCAAGCGUUAUCCGGAUUUUUUGGG